CCUACGGGGGGCAGCAGUGGGGAAUAUUGCACAAUGGGGGGAACCCUGAUGCAGCGACGCCGCGUGGGCGAGGAAGUAUUUCGGUAUGUAAAGCCCUAUCGGCAGGGAAGAAGAAAUGACGGUACCUGAAUAAGAAGCACCGGCUAAAUACGUGCCAGCAGCCGCGGUAAUACGUAUGGUGCAAGCGUUAUCCGGAUUUACUGGGUUUAAAGGGUGCGUAGGCGGUCCGUUAAGUCAGCGGUAAAAUUGCGGGGCUCAACCCCGUCGAGCCGUUGAAACUGGCAGACUUGAGUUGGCGAGAAGUA
rnacentral:rRNA from 1 species